UCAGCUUUCUUGUUGGAAUUUUGUCAAAGCUUCUUGGGGUUUUGUUUUUGGUUCAAGAGGAUGUCAUAGUCUGCUCUGUCUUUUGAAUAUUAUCAUUACAUGUAAGAUGCCUGUGUUCCUUCUCUGUGUAGUCAGACAGUGGCAAUUUGCUAUGUUUGGCAGAAAGAUCGUGAGUGGAAUAUCUAUGCGUGCUCGUGAGGGGUUUGGGAGAUCGGUUCCUUGUCCAGCAUAGCUGCUUGAAGCAAAUUCCUGUGAUCCAGCCUUGAAAAUCUGAUUGAAUCUAUUGAAUUUGUUAACAACAGUGGAUGAGUCUUCUAUUCUGUAUGAUGGCAUGAUCAUGGUUGCGUAAACUUGUGCGUGGCUACUGUUCUGCUGGUAGCUUCAUAGCGCCACCUAACUGAAACAGGUUUCUCAUGCUCGCUGGGCUAUUGAUGUCUGUUGUAUAUGGUAUGGUCGAUGAUGACUGUGAUGAUAUUUUCUCGUCAGCUAUUGAUGUCUGUUGUAUAUGGUAUGGGCUAUUGAUGUCUCUGUUGUAUAUUGAAGCUUCUCUUGGAAUGAACAAGGCCAUGACUGCUCACCUUGAAGCUCUUGGAUACGCAGCUGAGAUGCUGUUCCCUCUAUUUGAUGGGUAUGCAUCAUGG
rnacentral:lncRNA from 1 species